GUAUUGUAUGAAAGGAGAGAGGGUCAAUGUUCCCCUUGAUCAGAAUGGAAGAGGCCGCCAUUGAACACACAUAGAUAAAGGAUCGCCACCUUCUUUGUGGAAUCUAACCAUGUUUUU
rnacentral:ncRNA from 1 species